AAUAAAACUAGGAUGAGUUUUCACUUCUUCCCCAGAAAGGUAUAGUUAUAGGUUAGCCUAGCUUUAAUGUGUUGACAAGUAUGUAAACACACACACACACUUUCUAGUCCGCGUUUAUAUCAGUAAAUAAAACUGACAUGAAUUAAUCCUAAUAAAAGAAAUACUGUGACAAUGAAAAUACAGUCUUAGACACCAUACAGGCUUUGUAGUCUCUUGCUAGACUAGGAAAAAACAAAUCCAGUCAGUUUCAUAAAAUAUUCUGGAUUGCCCAGUAAUAUAUGGGUUU
rnacentral:lncRNA from 1 species